rnacentral:rRNA from 1 species
GACGAACGCUGGCGGCGUGCCUAAUACAUGCAAGUCGAGCGGAUUUUCAAGAAGCUUGCUUUUUUAAAGUUAGCGGCGGACGGGUGAGUAACACGUGGGCAACCUGCCUGCAAGACGGGGAUAACUCCGGGAAACCGGGGCUAAUACCGGAUAAUAUCUUCCUCCGCAUGAAGGAAGGUUGAAAGGCGGCGUAAGUUGCCCUUUGCAGUUGGUCCCGGGCCGAUUGAGUUGUUGGUGAGGUAACGGGUUACCCAGGGCACGAUGGCUAACCGACCUUGGAGGGUGAUCGGCCACACUGGGAAUGGGACACGGCCCAGACUCCUGCGGGAGGCAGCAGUAGGGAAUCUUCCGCAAUGGACGAAAGUCUGGAGGAGCAACGCCGCGGGGGCGAAGAAGGUCUUCGGAUCGUAAAGAUCUGUUGUCAGGGAAGAAAAAGUAGCGUUCGAACAGGGCGGUACCUUGACGGUACCUGACCAGAAAGCCACGGCUAACUACGUG